UGCCAGACUCCUACGGGAGGCAGCAGUGAGGAAUAUUGGUCAAUGGCCGGGAGGCUGAACCAGCCAAGUCGCGUGAGGGAAGACGGCCCUACGGGUUGUAAACCUCUUUUGUCAGGGAGCAAGGUGCAGGUCGGGACCUGCUGUGAGAGUACCUGAAGAAAAAGCAUCGGCUAACUCCGUGCCAGCAGCCGCGGUAAUACGGAGGAUGCGAGCGUUAUCCGGAUUUAUUGGGUUUAAAGGGUGCGUAGGCGGAAGGUUAAGUCAGCGGUCAAAUGUGGGUGCUCAACGCCGGCCUGCCGUUGAAACUGGUCUUCUUGAGUGAGCGAGAAGUAUGCGGAAUGCGUGGUGUAGCGGUGAAAUGCAUAGAUAUCACGCAGAACUCCGAUUGCGAAGGCAGCAUACCGGCGCUCAACUGACGCUGAGGCACGAAAGCGUGGGGAUCGAACAGGAUUAGAUACCCCAGUA
rnacentral:rRNA from 1 species